rnacentral:rRNA from 1 species
UGGGCUACACACGUCAUACAAUGGCCGGUACAGGAGGGUAGCCCAACCCGCGAGGGGGAGCCAAUCCCACAAAGCCGGUCGUAGUCCGGAUCGCAGUCUGCAACUCGACUGCGUGAAGUCGGAAUCGCUAGUAAUCGCAGAUCAGCAUGCUGCGGUGAAUACGUUCCCGGGCCUU